rfam:Erinaceus europaeus unplaced genomic scaffold scaffold01224, whole genome shotgun sequence
AUAAUGUUGUAGUUCAUAAACUUGAUGAUUGGGUUAUCAUGCGACUGCAUGAGGUGUGCCACCCACAAGGCUUGUUACAACAUCAGCACAUUACCCGUCUGACA